AUUAUUAUUUUGUGGCAUUUUGCCAAAAACAAAUCUCUCUUAUUUCCUUUCUUAUCUUCAUUUCCAUUCAAACCAAAUCUUCUUCACACCAAACCUGUGGCCUCUGUUUCUCAGUAAACAUUCUUCCUAUUCUCACUCUAAAACAGCUCGUGCAUGCUGAUUUUCCCGCCAAAUUGGAAGUGUAGAAAAUGGACAAGUUGAUGAUGCGGAGAGAGUUUGGGAGUCCGGAGACGGAUGAUAUGGACUUCAAGGACGUGUUCGGGGGCCCACCGCGGCGAUUCUCGAUGCAGGAGGUGAGAGAGAGGCACAGCUUUGGGGAGCCGUCGUCGUCGGCUUGGGAGAAGCCGGUGUUCGGAGAGGAGAAGAGGCGGCAGAGGGGGCCCGAUUUCUUCGACGACAUAUUCAAAGGCUCCCCGAGGAGGAGUGAUCGUGAUGGGUCGAGCCCGGCUUCGAGGAUCAUGAGCCCUUUCUCACCUAAACCCGACGCUUUAGCCUCUUCUCUCCCUGCCCACCUCAGUUUGCCUCCAAAGAUGGAUUUGCCAACCUUUGGAUCCCAGAAUCAUGGGCAAAACAAGGUGGAUGGAGGUGGUAAUGGACUCAGCUCAUGGAGUCCUUUCUCUAGAUUCUCAAAUGAGGCAAGUGGGAGACUUGGUGACUUGAUGAGAGACGAAGCUGAGCCCGCGAGUCCCCCCCAAAGGCCACUGUCCGAUGAUGAAGCUGAGGGUUCCCCGUUGUCUGAUCAAGAUCCGAAAACCGUUGACAGCAUUGGCAAUCAGUUUCACUUCUCUAUCUACAAAUGGGCAGGCAGAGGAGCUCCAGUGCUGAUGCCUCUUGUCCUUCGGAAUAACUUGAGAUCAAAAGACAGUGUCAAAUGCGAAGUCUCUGCUGCUGCAGAGCCCGAGCCCAAAUCCGAACCCUUGAGAUCAGAACGUGCACAUGAUAUCAAGAGCAGAAGAGAGAAGAAACAACAUGCUUUUGAAGCGUUUUAUGAGCCGAAAUUAAACACAAGUGUAAAGGAGGAACAGCUGAAAUCAGUUGAUCAAGUUGAAAAAAAAGUCCAUGUGAAGAUAAGUGAAGAAGUUAAGGAUGAGAAAGCAAGAGCUGAGCCAGUUGCUGCAGAGCCCGAGCCCUUGAGAUCAGAACACGCGCAUAAUGUCAAGGGCAGACGAGAGAAGAAACAAGAGCGAGAUCAUGUGGUUGAAGCGUUUUAUGAGCCGAAAUCAAACACAAGUGUAAAGGAAGAACAGCUGAAAUCAGUUGAUCAAGUUGAAAAGAAAGUCCAUGUGAAGAUGAGUGAAGAAAUUAAGGAUGAGAAAGCUAGAGCUCAGCUGGUUGAUGGUGGCAGCAAGAAAGCGAAGGAAAAGGGGGGGAACGGAGUGGACUCGAACAAUGCAAAAGCUGAGAAAACUACAAAGUUGGGACCAGCAGCUGAAGUGAAAAGUGGUGCAGUCAAGGGAAAGGUGAAGGAUUUUGUUCAGAUCUUCAACCAGGAUGCUGUUUUAAGACCUGAAGCUGAUGCUCGAGGGAGUCGGAGAUGGGGAAAUGUAGGGAGUGAGGCGAGUUCGAAUCAAGCAAAAGUUCAAGAAAAAGUAGAUGUGGAUAAGAAACCAGAUGCUCCUUUCAAGGAGGCUGAAAAUUUAGGGAGAAAUGAAGCGCAACAGUUCUCUCCACGGAGAAUUUCACGUAGUGCUCGUUCUUCGAGUAGACUACGAAAAUCAUUUUCAGCAGGGUCGCUUCGCGAGGAUUUAAGGAUGCCACGAGAGAAACUAGACGAUCCUUUGGAAGACACGUUUGAGGUACAGGAAUUACCAGAUGACAACGAAGCUGAUGCACCGGACGAAAGCUCUGAGGAAACCAAAGCUAUAGAUGCCAAGAUUCGGCAGUGGUCAGUCGGAAAGAAAGGAAACAUCCGCUCUCUGCUCUCGACUCUGCAAUACGUUCUGUGGGCUGAGAGUGGAUGGAAGCCGGUUCCCCUAGUGGAUCUGAUCGAGUCGACUUCUGUAAAGAGGGCGUAUCAGAAAGCUCUACUCCGGCUGCAUCCGGAUAAGCUGCAGCAGAAAGGAGCUGCUUUUCAACACAAGUACAUUGCAGAAAAGGUUUUCGACAUUCUUCAGGAAGCAUGGGACCAUUUCAACACUUGCUCAUCCUUAGGUUUAUAGUGAGUCAAGAUCAAGAACACAGAGAAAUGAGCAGUCAGUUUCAAGAGAUGUAAAUAUCUUUUUAACAGAGAAAAAGAGUUGACUAGGCAUUCAGGUGGUGUCGGGGUAUCGACUGACCCCACCCUCAGGCCGCGGAUACGAAGGUCGCAAAAUUCCAAUAGAUUCAGUUUUAAAGUUGCGUUGAUUCCAUGAUGACUUUCGUUCUUCAUCCUGUCCAUUGUCAGCGAUGGUUGCUGCAUUGCUUUACUUAGUGAUGUUGGUGACGGUCGUUGUAUUUUCCACUAUAUAUAUUAACGGUCGCCAGAGCGAUUGGAACCAGCAAAAUUUGGAGCACCAGCCGCGACAAUAUGCGAAAAUAAUCAGAGACAAAUCUGGAUGCGUCGCUCUUCACUUCAUCGAAGAAGCAGGAUUUCAAGGAGACGUAUAGUUGCAGAUCAUUGCCGCUUGGUCGAAACUGAAGGCUUGGUUACUCAUAUCUAUAGAAACUGGUAUUGUGCUGUUAUCUGUUGAACUUGUAUUGCUUUCUUGGAGAUCCCCUGCUGCUAUGUAGAAAUCCUUGAUUUGAUGGCUAUCAAAGUUAUGCGAAACUGGAUUUUUUUGUUA